GGAUUCUAGGCAGAUGCUCUACCACUGAGCCACGCCCCCAGCCCCUCACUGGGAGAUUCCCAGAAAGUUCUUGACCACUGAGUCAUGUUCUAGCCAUAGCAGUUCCUUAUUAAUUCAGUUUCAGUGGAAGGAACUCCGCUGUGUUCACUCUUCAGACUGAGUUGUGCAGAACACUGAUGAACUCAUGGGGCUAGAAAUGAAUUUCAGGAGCCGGGAGCCAUGACACCCGGACAGUAUGAGGAUCUACCUAGACCUUUGCAGGAAAAACAGCUCACAUCUACUUUUGUUUAAAAAAAAAAAAAAUCUCUUUCCAUAAAAGCGAUAGUACUGGAAGUUGUCUGCCUGCUAGUUCUGGUCCUGGAACAGCUGCACAUGGGGACAGCUGUCUCAGCUUCAGGACACAGGAUCUACAGGAGAUUAAUAACAGAGCUCAGCCAAGCCCAUGGGGAGCAGAGCCGGCUAAGGUUACCUUGCACCAGGAAGUGUGCCUGCCCUGCUGACAGCGGGUGGGGAGCCUGCAGGAUGGAUGGGAUCUUGGGGCGCCAGGGGGUGGCUGGGCAAGACGGCCCACUGGCUGGCCCUGCCAAACCCACCUCCCACCCCUUGAGAUGCAAAUUGAUUCUCCCAAGAGCCUCUGGCUUCCUCUGGACCUGAAACCCUGCAAGAGCUGGUCUCUGAGAAUUCUGUGAGGAGCCAGAAAUGGAAGCCAAAUGUUGGUGUCAGGUAGAGGAAGCUGGUGGGUGUCUGUGGCUCAGCAGGCUAGGCAGCUGUGAGGGCGCAGGCUCCUGGGGCCAGGACAGAUGUGUAGGACCUGGUUUUGUCUGGGCUGUCAGUUUUUCCAGGGCAGGGGCCAUGACCCACCCUGAGGCCCGGAGGACCCUGUGCAGCAUCAGCCAACGUCCUGUUGAGUGAUGGCAGGGCCCAGGAAAUUUCCAGAGCGAAGGGGAGCCACAUCUUCUCCAUCGGGUCCUUUCAGAUCUUCCCUGAGACUUGGGAAAGGGGCAGUCUUUGCAUCUGGACUCUAUAUUUACACGUUUUCGAGGCCUACGGAAUUCUGCAGACUUAAGUUUGGAACACAAAAGCUCACUUCUGUAGUUUUAAGAUUAAAAAGUAAAACCCA